UACGUAGGGUGCAAGCGUUGUUCGGAAUUACUGGGCGUAAAGGGCGCGUAGGCGGCCUGCUAAGUCGAACGUGAAAUCCCUGGGCUCAACCCAGGAACUGCGUCCGAUACUGGUUGGCUUGAAUCCGGGAGAGGGACGUGGAAUUCCAGGUGUAGCGGUGAAAUGCGUAGAUAUCUGGAGGAACACCGGUGGCGAAGGCGACGUCCUGGACCGGUAUUGACGCUGAGGCGCGAAAGCCAGGGGAGCAAACGGG
rnacentral:rRNA from 1 species